CUGGCUCAGAUGAACGCUGGCGGCGUGCUUAACACAUGCAAGUCGAACGCGAAGGGACUUCGGUCCUGAGUAAAGUGGCGCACGGGUGAGUAACGCGUGGAUAAUCUGCCCUUAUGAUCGGGAUAACAGUUGGAAACGGCUGCUAAUACCGGAUACGCUCAAAAUGAACUUUUUGAGGAAAGAUGGCCUCUGCUUGCAUGCUAUCACGUAAGGAUGAGUCCGCGUCCCAUUAGCUUGUUGGCGGGGUAACGGCCCACCAAGGCAACGAUGGGUAGCCGAUUUGAGAGGAUGAUCGGCCACACUGGAACUGAAACACGGUCCAGACUCCUACGGGAGGCAGCAGUGGGGAAUAUUGCGCAAUGGGCGAAAGCCUGACGCAGCGACGCCGCGUGAGGGAUGAAGGUUUUCGGAUCGUAAACCUCUGUCAGAAGGGAAGAAACUACGUUGUGCUAAUCAGCAGCGUACUGACGGUACCUUCAAAGGAAGCACCGGCUAACUCCGUGCCAGCCGCCGC
rnacentral:rRNA from 1 species